AGGGCAGCAGAGUCAGGAGGUGGGAUGAUAAAAGCAAGAAGUUGGAGGGAUACGAGGAAGGGAUCAUUAACCAACGAUUGCAAAAGGCCUCUGGAAGCUGGAAAAGGCACAGACACGGAUUCUUCCCUGGAGCUUCUGGGAGCAACCAGCCCUGCUGACACCUUGACUUUAGCCCAGUGAGAAUGACUGCAGACUCUGAGCUCCAGAACAGUAAGAGGAUAAAUGAUUUGAAGCACCCACUUCUCCUUCCCCUUUUCCUCCCAGGCCAGCCCCAUCCAGUAGCAAAACUAGAUGAGGAAAAGAAAGGCAAAGAACUCACACUGGAGUUUGAGCUACAAUCAAUCGAUUAUUUUCAUCAAUACAUCCCUAGGCUUUACCUCUCUUUACAUCUCAAAAUCGCCUCUGCAACAUCAUAUGUCCAAGACAGAACUCCCCUUCCUCCUGCAUAACUCACCAUAGCUCAGGUUAGGUUCUUGGAAUCAUAUUUGAGUUGUCCCCUCCAAAUCUCAUGUUGAAAUGUGAUCCCCUAUCAAAUAACUCCAUAAAGUAUCUAAAAUCUAUACCAUUUAUUGGAUUAUAUCACUUUCUGCUCAAUAAUUUCCAAAGGCUUCUCAUUACCCUAAAGAAAAAAAUUCUAUAGUUUGAAAACUCGAGACUACUGGUGAUCUCUUCAACUUACUCCCAGCCCCAUAACUCUCCAAACAGAUCUCCAGGUCACCCCUGACCUCCAGUCACACUCCCCAACAUAAUCACAAGUUUCCACUCACUCUCAUAUCCACCCUUCAUGAGCUCACUUCAGCAUCACUGUUCAUGCUAUUCCAUCUUCCAAUUCCUAACCCUCUACUCUCAGCUGAACUAACUAAAAAAUCCAAGAACUGAAAGAAGACAGAACAAGAGAAAGAGGAUACAACAAUUAGAUGCCAGUCGUGUUCUUGAGAGGAUAUUCUAGGGAAAGAACGAGUUUCUCUCUCCUCACGGCUGCCUGGGACACAUGCGGAGUCGAUUGUCACAUUAAAAAGCCGAGGGAUAAGCAAAAACACAUCCAAAGCAGGCAGCCAGAAGGAAGAGAAGUCUGGGGUCCAAGUCACAGGAUGCACAUUGGAGGCAACUGGGAAUGCCUCCUCUGCAGAGGGGACAAGUAAGGAGCAAUACAGUCACUGAUUCAAACAUCUGGAGCACUCAAAGUUUGCUAAAGAAAAUGGCCUCCUGCUCCAUCUGUGUUGCUGCAAAGGACAUUGAGACUGUUUUACUUCCUUAUACCAUAUAUGAAAACCAACUCAAGAUGGAUUAAGACUUAAAUGUAAAACCCAAAGCUAUAAAAACCCUGGAAGACAACCUACGAAAUGUCAUUCUGGACAUAGGAAUGGGCAAAGAUCUAAUGGCAAAGAUGCUAAAAGCAAUUGCAACAAAGGCAAAAACUGACAAAUGAGAUCUAAUUAAACUAAAGAGCUUCUGCACAGCAAAAGAAACUAUCAGCAAACUAAACAGAUAACCUAGAGAAUGGUAGAACGUUUUUGCAAACUAUGCAUCAGACAGAGGUCUAAUAUCCAGCACCUAUAAAAAACUUAAAUUUACAAGACAAAAACAAGCUCAUUAAAUAUGGGCAAAGGACAUGAACAGACACUUUUCAAAAGAAGACACACAUACAGCCAACAAGCAUAUGAAAAAAAGUUCAGCAUCACUGAUCAUGAAAGAAAUGUAAAUCAAAGCCACAACGAGAUACCAUCUCACAUCACUCAAAAUGGCUAUUGUUAAAAAAUCAAAAAAUAACCAGUGCUGGCAAGGUUGCAGAGAAAAGGGAAUGCUUAUACACUGCUGGUGGGAGGGUAAAUUAGUUCAACCAUUGUGGAAUGCAGUGUGGCACUUCCUCAAAGACCUAAAAAUAGAACUAUUAUUCCACCAAGCAAUCCCAUUACUGGUAUAUACCAAAGGAUUAUAAAUCCUUCUAUCAUAAAGACACACACACAUACGUUCACUGCAGCACUAUUCACAAUAGCAAAGACAUGGAAUCAACCUAAAUGCCCGUCAAUGGUAGACUGGGUAAAGAAAAUAAGGCACAUAGACACCAUUUCUUUACAUUUCCAUUUUUGUGGGAAAAAAAAUCCAUCUAUGUUUCCUGUGUGCUUGCUCGGAGCAUUAAGAAAUAUAAAAUCAGAUCAACUUAGAAAAAAUGUUAAAAGUUUAUUGUGCACACUAAGAACAGUUCUCAAACUGGGAGACUUCAAACUGAAAGUAGUAAGAAGCCUCAAGAAAAGCAGCCACAGCGCAGAUUAUAAAGCACAAAGGAGGAGUAUUUUAACCUUUUUUUUCUUGCCUGUUGUAUAUUACCAUCCCUUUUAGGGAAGUAGAGUUGUUUAAGCUCAUUUGUCGCUAGUCGAUUGUUUUGAUUUCAACUGAACCAUGUUCAUAGAGCUUAUGUUUUGUUUCCGUCAUGAUUAGAGCAUUAUGGGGAAAUCAGGAUGACUUAAGUUUUGACUACAUGGUUAUGGGCAGUUGGCCCUGGGGUAUAUCUAAACUAUGGCCUUGGUUCUUCCUUCUUUUUUAAUAGUAUCAUUUCAGGCAUUUCUGUCUCCUUGCAAACUUGAAAUAGACACCUGAAAUAGCAGCAGCCAGUCCCCAAAAUCACUGUGGGUUCUUUCUUCCCAUCAAGCAUACCCAGAACCUCUAUUUCCAUUUUCCCAUAGAAUCUUAGGUUUUUAAGCCCUUGAUGGUGCCCUAGAUUCAGUCUCUAAUCCAUGCCACACCUGCACCAUCUCUCAGGGGCAGCCAUUCUUAGUCCUGUGCCACAGGGGCUAUUUCCACCAUCUGUAGCUAUGGAACUACUUGGGACAUGAAACCCAUCUGCUAGGAAAGACUUCUUCAUUCAUAAUUCAUCUUAGCUGAAGAAUCACCACUAAUAGAUUCCUGCACUAAAGCAGUUUUGUUGCUUCUGAAAUUAAAUUUUUGAUGCAUUGGUAUUUAAUUUCCCUGUGCUAGUCCCCAACCCCUUUCAAGGCUACUUGAGUUUCUUAACAAUUUAGUCUACUUCUUAAACCAGUCCUUUUUCUUCUCUAGUCUAUGUAAGAGCUAAUGCUGCCUGCAGGAACUGAGUGGCUCCCUUCCAUUUACUUUGUCUUUGCUUUCCGUCUCAGGCAAUUAUUUUUAUAACUACUCUGGAUUCAUCUGUGAGGUCUACCAUAGUAAGAGAGAAGAAAUCAACAAGCUCUCUGUUCACCGUUCAGAUUUUGUUUACCAUACUCUCAAUGACAUGGAUAAUCUCCCCAAGAGAGAUUCUUCCAUCAGACAGUUAACAAAAACCUGAACUUGGUCUCUGAUUGUCACAUCUACAUUUCUUCGUAUCUUUCUACUACCUUCCAUUAAGAUCCUAAUUUCAUAAAUUCAUCAACUAAGGUCAAUAAGUUCUCUCAGAGUAAAUGCAAUGCUUGUAUCUCCCCGUGAUGACUGUGUCACAUGGAAACUCACGUAAGAAAUGCUUUGAAUAUCUCUUAUGCAUUUUCUAAGUCUGUCCAGAUUUCUACAACUCCUUGGUACAGCUGUUCCAGUCUUUAAGUAGUAGUUCCCCAGUUGCUCCAAGUGAGGUCCUGUGGGUUUAGAAAGUCACCUCUCAGUGACUUGGGUUUUCUUAGGGUUAUCAUCCUGGACUUCUCUCUCUUGGGUUCCAUACACCAUUUAUGAUUUAGUAACAACAAACAUGUAUUUCCCUCUUUAAAAGCAGUUAGAAUUUAGGUACCUUUUUCUGCCCCUUGUAUGUUGGUCUAACUCCAUCUUCAACGUACCUUUCUCCCUGUAUUCUUUCUUAGUGAAUAAAUAAUCUCUUCCUCCAGCGUAUCCUGCCUACUUUCCUUUAUUAAUCUUCCUCUGUUUCUGGAUUUAAUGGAACUGAAGUACCAUCUUUUAACCACUCUAGUUUUUUCUUUUCUUGAGCAAAUGGGAUAAUUGGAGGCAACCAGUUGCAGGCACAGAACACUUUGAUAUCCUUGUGUUUGGGUUUCUAAUAAUGUCAUUUAGUUGAUUUUCUGUCUCAAGGGGAUAGCAAUUUCUUUCUAAUAAGAGUUCAUAUCUCUUAUUUCCUAAUUAAUAAAGUCUAAUGCACAUCUAUGGUGAAAUCACAAUUUGGGUCUCAGAUAGCAAGUCAGGGUUAGAACUUAAGAUAUUAAUGUAUUCAGAGCCAAUUUGGGAUUCUAUAAUGGGAGAGGGAGUCUUAAAAGUCUGUGGAAAUGCCACAUGAAAGGUUAGCAGGUGCCUUCACAGCCCUCCUUGAUCCUGAAAGAGGUCUUCUCUUGAAUCUGGAAUACCCAAUCUAGAUUAUCUAGCUGGUCUUGGUACUAACCAUGUAGACCUAGAGCCCCUCUAGUGCUCUGUUAUACAUGCAGAGCUAGUUGCCUUGCAGUUUAAAAGUGGCAAAUAUUCUUCUGACCACCAAUGUUUAAAAUGCCUGUAAAACUCUUCUCUACAAUGGAAUCUUGUCUCAAUUUAGGACAAGGUUGGUCUGUGCAUUAAGCCAAAGCAGUCUCUACCUGAAGCACCCAACACAGCUAAAGGACUGUGUCUUAUUUUCUCACGAGUUGCAUAAGUCAUAGGUUGCAGUCACCUGCCAAGCUUAAAAUUCCUCAUGACAGCCAGAGCUUUCUUCCCAGGCUACAGAAGUUCAAAGCCAAAUGCAAACAAGUAAAAAUCAGUUUGACCUAAAAUAAGUCUCUAUAAACUAUUAUAAGUCUUUAUAAACUAUUAUACUCAAUACAUUUAAUCCCUAAAGUCCAAGACCCACAUUUGUAGGCCUUGGAUGCACAAAAACUUUCUCCUUCCAAACUUUCUCUUUUAUUAUUAUUUCUCAAUGUUCCUGGUGAAUAUACCAAAUUUUGAGGUUUCUGAGGGUUACUCCCCAAUAAAUGGCACCAUUAUUCUAUGCUCUGCUUAGAACAAGUUGAGAUCAACAAAACAGAUUCAGUGGGAAGCCAAAAUAUAACCUGUUACUGAUAGAAAUUAGGCCAGAAGACACGGUUUUAGGUGGGGGCAGUGCUAGACUUUAGGCCUCCUUACAGGCAAGAAGCCUGACUACUUACACAUAGGCUCAUUCUCAACAGAAAAACAGUUGGAGCCACGUCAAGUAGGUUCACUGAUUCUUCUCAAAGAUGAGAAUUAAAUAAAAUACUCCAUCUCUCUAAGAGCUGGAUGAAUAAAGACAGGCCUGCAGUAACACUACUGAAGCUUACUUCCAGGAAAGAAAGAUUAGAAACAGGAAACAAUUAUUCCUGGAUGACAAUAACUUACAGUUAAAAUCUUUGCUUACUGCUUUUUAUAUUGAAAGUAACUUUUCUCAAGAUAUUUGUGCAAUUCAGAUAGUGCAAUACUCUCAUAGUUAGUUUUCAAUACCAUGUUGCACCUCAAUUUAAUAUAUCUCAUUUGUGGAAUAUCAAUGUUUCACAAUAUCAAUGUCAAUUCAUUUUUUAUAAAAUUUGAUAUCUGAAAGCCAAUUUUAAAAUUCAGUCUUCAACUUCACAGUUUGGGGAAUGGAUUCAUACUUAGGUCUGUUAUUUAAAUGUCUGGGUAUUCUUUUCCCACAAGAUUGUAGACCAGAUUAUUCCCAGACAAAUAGUUUCCUAACGAGCCAACUGCAGAAUGUGUGAAUUGGAUCAUAUGUGUGUGCAAUGCUUUAAGAAUGACCUUACACAAAAAAUAGUCACUGUUUAGAUGGGUUAUACAGUUGACCCCUGAAAAACAUGGGUUUGAACUGCAUGGGUCCAUUUAUAUGUAGGUUUUAUUUUGCCUCUGCCACCCCUGAGACAGCAAAGCCAACCCCUCCUCCUCAACAGCCUGCUCAACACAAAGACAGAAAGGAUGAAGACCUUUAUAAUGAUCCACUUCUACUUAGUAAAUAUAUAUUUUUAGAUAGUAAAUAUAUUUUUUCUUCCUCAGGACCUUCUUAAUAACCUUUUCUUUCCUCUUAUCUGACUUUAUGGUAAGAAUGUAAUAUACACGACAUACAAAAUACGUGUUAUCUGAGUAUUUCUGUUGUUGGUAAGGCUCUGGUCAACAUUAGUCUAUUAAGUUUGGGGGAGUCAAAAGUUCUAUGUUGAUUUUCAACUGUGACGGGUUGAUGCUCCAACCCCCGACAUUGUUCAAGGGUCAACUAUAUUAUAAACUAAGGAAUCCAAUCUUUGUAAAGCAGGAAAUGGGGGUAGAGAAAAAUUAGUAGAUUUUCCCUUGGAUGACAUGAACAAUUCAAAAAUCAUUUGCAUAUAUCCUUGUGUAACUACAGCAGACGCUUUAAUUAUGGACCCAAUUUAUCAACAAAGCAUUAUGCUCUCAAGCCAUAAGAAUCAAUCUAGUUCAUGAUGUUAAUUUCUCAUUCCAUGGAGGGUUUUGGCUUGCUUUUCAAAGAAAUUCAUGCUGAAUCAGGCAAUUAGUAAAUUUAAGUUUUAUACCCUUCCAACUGAAUUUAUUUUGUGAGGAAAAAAAUCCGAAAGUAAUAUCAACUACCACAGAAGAAUUGUCUUAGUUAUGUUUUCUAAUUUUGAUCAAUGUAUAUUAAGCUUAUUGACUUCCUUUCAAAAUUAAAAAAAAGUUGUGACUCAUGAGCACCAAGUUUUCAAAUCCUUUAUUAAAAUUAUCAUGUACAAAACUAACUUAAUUCAGUGAUGUAUUUUAAAUAUCUGCACUUUGAUCACUAUUAAAAACAGCAUAAAAUGAGUUUGUCCUGUAAGUUAACUGUAUUUUCAAAACAAUACUUAUGUUUAGAUAUACUUUUGCUAAUGUUUGUUUUUCUAAGUCAAUAUAUAUUGUACUCACUCAUUUAUGAAACUGACAUUUGCAAAUUGUUUUGCUAUUCUGACAAUUUUUCAUACAGUAAAUAUUAAUUUUACAAGAACAUAAUUUAUUUCAAUUAAUUUAAAAUCAAAGCCUGAUUAAAUUUUGAUGUUUUCUCAGUGUAUCAAUUUAAAAAUCAUCUUCAUACCUAAUCAUAACCUGUUGUAUGAUGUUUCAUAAUGAUAUAUUAAGCUGUAUUCCUUCAAAAUAGAUACAUUUUAUUAUAAAUUAAAAAUAUCCUUUACAUCUAUAAAGAAAUACGCAUGCUCAAUUUUUCUUGAACCAUAUAACCCUCUCUUACCUCUCAUUUUACACCAAUUUUGAUAAAAGGUUUGGUUAUUAGAAAGUUUAUUUUUCUCAUCUCCACAAUUUAAAAACAAAGAAAAAACUGUGUAAAAUAAUAGCUAAAACUGGUGAGAAAUGGAAAAUGCAUACCUAUGUAAAAAAGAUAGCCACUCCACAAUUCAAAUUAGUAACAUAAAGAUCAAAUUUGAUUUUUUAAGAAAAUCAAGAAGUUAAUGUUUUUGAAGUAUUUCUAUAUUUUUAAAUAUUGACAAUUAAUAAUUGAAAACAAUGUGUAAGCUAGCACUAUGUAAAUCAAAGAAAACAGACAAAUGUUAACAUGUAAUUAAUAUUCUCAACCCAGGAGACAGUUGAUUGUUGAAACAGAAACCUGAACACAUCAUAACUCUAAUACUUUUUUGUUUGUUGGUUUGUUUUUUUUUGAGACAGAGUCUUACUCUGUAGUCCAGGCUGGAGUGUGGUGGUGCAAUCUCGGCUCACUAAAACCUCUGCCUCUCGGUUCAAGUGAUUCUCUUGCCUCAGCCUCCUGAGUAGCUGGGAUGACAGACACGCACCACUACUCCCAGCUAAUUUUUUGUAUUUUUAUUAGAAACAGGGCUUCACCACGUUGGCCAGGCUGGUCUCAAACUCCUUACCUCAACUGAUCUGCCAGCCUCGGCCUCCUUUGGGAUUACAGGCAUGAGCCACUGAGCCUGGCCUACUCUAAUAUUCUUUAGUGGCAUCCUUUCUCACUUAAAAAAAAAAAUCACUGCAAUUGUCCUACAAGGCUCUAUAUCAGUGAUGGCCUGGAGAAGGGUUAUACUAGCUCACAAGAGCUGACUGUUAUAUUUUCCAUUGCUAGCUUGAAAUUGGCCAUGGUGAGAGUGUUUACACCAGAAAAACUGCAAACACUACAGAUCAGGACCUUUUAUUAUUGAUUUUUUUCCCUAGAGAGCCAGCUGCUAAACAUUUACCAGAAUACCAGUACCCUAUAUGAUCUAUCCCACCUCACCUCCAUGUUAGCUCAAUGUUCUCACCUCAUCUUUUGCCACUUUCCCAUUUGCCCAACCUACUCCACUGGCAUAUUCCUUCCUGCUUCAGGUCUUGCAUAUACUGUUUAGUUUGCCUGGACUAUGUAAAUUACUGUGUAACACAGUCUACCUAAAACAACAAACCAAAAUUCUCCACCUCCACAGCACACAUGACAUAGAAUAUUUUAUCAGUUUAUCUAUCUGUCUGUCUGCCUGUCUGUCUGCCUGUCUAUCUAUCUAUCUAUCAUCCUGCAUUCAUCUCUUCGUGAUAGGCUGUAAACUCCACAAAGGAAACUGAUGUCAAUUUUGUCCUGCUGUAUCCCCAGUACCUUAAAAAAGCCAUGGCAAACAGCAGGUGCUCAAUAAAUAUUUUUCUGAACAAAUGAAUGGAUAGAAGUUGCCCUUAGUGGUCUAAAUCUAAAUAUUUACAUUUCUAUCUCUUUUUAAUAGAAAUUACUUGCCAUGUUGAGUAUGAAGAAUUAUUGAUUUUUAAAUGCACAAAUAGCUGUUUUGAAUGACACCCAUGCUUUUGGUUUAAAUCUCUUAUGCUCAUCUGAGUAUACCUAGCCAUGAGUCCAUCUAGUCUGCCUGUUAUGGUUCAUUUGAUGACAAAUACAGGGAGAGAUGAAAGCAACAUCCAUCUACAAGGGAUAAAGGCCAGAGCUUGACAAAUGACUGUCAAAAUGGAGAGAGGGGUCAACUUACAUGCUAAAGGUUUACACCCGGUAUCUAGAAGAAAAGUAGUACCCUGACACAAGCAAUAAGCUAAGAGAAGUAGCUGGUUUAACAGAUGCUGGUGAAUUUGUUUUAGAUAAACCAAAAUUGAAAUGGCUGAUGGUUGUAUUAGGAAAAGCACCUCAUGUCUGGAUGUGGGAAUCAUCAACACAUGUACUCUUUUUGAACUCAAAACUGAGUUGUCUCAUGAACAGAAGUAGAAAGGGGGAAGGAGCAUGGAAAAGACAGAUAUUAAGCUGAUCAUUGAAUAAAGAAAAUUAGGUAGAACCCCAGAUAAUCCCCACUGCUGUAGAACAUGGAAAAGAAUCAGAAAAGAUGACAUCGAGAAAGGAACAAUGGGAAAGGUCUACUUUGGGCUGGAAGAGAUCAAAAGCUCAGUGUGGAACAUGUUCAGUUUGAGAUGUCUCUGAAGUAUCUGUGAACGAACGUCAGAUAGGUGUUUAGAUGCAUAAGUGUGAAAUUCAGCUAAAGUUUGAGCUCAUAUAAAUGGAGUUAACAGCUAAUAGAUGGUAUAUAAAGCCUUGGGCAUGUAUAAGGUCACCCAGGGAGAGAAUCUUAUGAGCAGCAGAGAGUCGAGAAUAAAGCUAUAUUCCACAUUUGAUGGCUUGGUAAGAAAAAGCCUGUAAAGUGAGCAGCCAAAGAUGUAGGCGAAAAAAUACAAGAGAAUAUUUGUCUCAGGGAAACCAUGGAAAAAGGAGAUUCAAGAAAGGGCAACACAUAUUGCUGAGGUCAAUUAAAAGUUCACUGGAUACAGAGCAAGAAUUCACUGGAUGGAGAUGCACACAUACAUACAUCCCUUUUAGACUAAACUGUAUUUUUGAAGUUAUAAGAAGGAAAACCAGAUUAAAAUGGAUUGCAAACUAAGAAAAUGUAGGCAAUAUGAACAGAAAACACUUAAAAAAUGUGUAAAGAGUAGAAAGAGAGGGUGCAAGAUGAGGAUGUGAGGUAUAUGAAUGAUUUUUUUUU
rnacentral:lncRNA from 10 species